GUGCACGCUUCGGCGGCACAUAUACUAAAAUUGGAACAAUACAGAGAAGAUUACCAUGGCCCCUGCACAAAAAUGACAUACAAAUUUGUGAAGCAUUCUAUAUUUUU